AUCGACCCGAAAGGUUAAUUCUGUUUUUCUAUCUCCACUGAUGCUGCCAGACCUGCUGAGUAUUUCCAUCAAUGUCUGAACCUACAUACGUGGCCUGCAAGGGGCAAUGACACUCGCCAAGUGAAGUUACUAGUGUGAAUUUUAACGUUGCGACAACCGCCGACAAAGAAGGAUGUCGCCUGUUCGGUUACUCUUGACUAUCGAGCCACAGCACCAUUUCUGUGCCUGGAAUUUGCUUUUUGCUUCGUGCAUGAUAGUAACACCGAGAGAGCGGAUCAUUGGAUGCCCAGUCUGAAACGCACCGUUAAAAAAUAGUCAUCACCAGGAAGGAGAAAUGCAACGGGACGUUUAAUUUCUUCAAAAUUAAAAUAAAAUAGCAGAGUGCAAUAUUGAUUUUUUUAAAAACGCAUUUGAAUUUACAGCUCUUUAACUUUUUUUGAAGGUGCAGCAGGAGUUAGUAAAUGAGAGUUGCAAAACGAAAUAAAGGACGUUGAAUUCCCUGUCAGAUCUUUCUAAAAGCCAA